rnacentral:lncRNA from 1 species
UACAGAAGGAAUAAGUCACGAGAAUAAAAGGCACAGCAUAAGGAAUAUAGUUGAUGUAUUUUUUUUCUGCGAUUCCUCUUAUUUUUCCGUCAUGACUCUCUCUAAAUGAAUGAUACUGCUAAGCCCUGAUACUUACAGUGCUUCUCUCUCUCUCCCUCCCCCCUUCUCUCUCUUUCUCUCUUUUGAAUUUUCCACUAACAAAUCUUAUCAAGUCACUCCAGAGUUGCCGGCUUCCUUUGUCAGCCAGGGGGAGAGGAAAACAAAGAUGUCUGGAGAGCUUCCCCCACGCACCACCGUGAGGCGAACAGAGAAGGAACUGGACCUGCCUUCUAAGCAGCACACCGUGCGUCAGCCUCAUACCCUCAAGGAUGCAUCGAGCUGAGCGGACACUUCAUUGUGACUGGAACAGCACAUCAGGCCCAGACACUCUGAGGCGGCUCAGUGUCAGUGGGAGAAUCUCGAUGCUUCAGACAGACUGGUAAUAAGCAUCCACUUUGUGCUACAGACUCACCUUCCCCCGGUUUCUCGAAAAAGAGCAGGAGAGAUGGUUGUUUUCCUUCCCCUGUUGCUUUUUGGGUUUCUCUUUCACAUCAGUAUUUUAAUCUGGGGCCCAACCAAGAACAUGGGAGGACAGGCGAGGAACUGGGUACUAGCCUCAGGAUCUUUCCAGACUCUCAUUUCUCACCGUCUGGCUGUAGGGCAAGCAUCACCUGGGGACAUGUCAGAAGCAACAAUCUCAAGAUCCAGUCCAGACCUACUGAAUCAAAGUCUGCGUUUUCACAAGAUCCCCAGGUGACUUGCCAGCACCCUGAAGGGUGAGAAUCCUUGCACCACAGCAUGAUAAGAACCAUGCCACACCCCGGUUUCCUCGUUUGCAAAUGGAAAGGACAAGAAAGGUACUUUAGGCGGCUAUGACUCAUGCAAAGAGCCUAAGACAGAACCUGACCCACAGGAAGUAUUUAGCAGAAGCAAAAUCAAUUACAAUUUUAUUGCUGUUGUUCUUGCUAACAUCCCCGUUCUCAUCAUUUGGAACCUCGUCUGCUGUUCCACAGUCUGAGGAUCUCUUCCACUAGCAUAUGUUGGUGUUAUCAUACAAAUAUGUUCAGGAUUUUUC